UACGUAGGGGGCAAGCGUUGUCCGGAAUCAUUGGGCGUAAAGCGCGUGUAGGCGGCUGAGUAAGUCUGCUCUGAAAGCCCGGGGCUCAACCCCGGGAGGCGGGUGGAUACUGCUCAGCUCGAGUCCGGAAGAGGAGUGUGGAAUUCCUGGUGUAGCGGUGAAAUGCGCAGAUAUCAAGAGGAACACCAAUGGCGAAGGCAGCACUCUGGGACGGUACUGACGCUGAGACGCGAAAGCGUGGGGAGCGAACAGG
rnacentral:rRNA from 1 species